rnacentral:rRNA from 1 species
AGUGAACGCUGGCGGUAGGCCUAGCACAUGCAAGUCGAACGGCAGCACAGUAAGAGCUUGCUCUUACGGGUGGCGAGUGGCGGACGGGUGAGGAAUACAUCGGAAUCUACUUUUUCGUGGGGGAUAACGUAGGGAAACUUACGCUAAUACCGCAUACGACCUACGGGUGAAAGCAGGGGAUCUUCGGACCUUGCGCGAUUGAAUGAGCCGAUGUCGGAUUAGCUAGUUGGCGGGGUAAAGGCCCACCAAGGCGACGAUCCGUAGCUGGUCUGAGAGGAUGAUCAGCCACACUGGAACUGAGACACGGUCCAGACUCCUACGGGAGGCAGCAGUGGGGAAUAUUGGACAAUGGGCGCAAGCCUGAUCCAGCCAUACCGCGUGGGUGAAGAAGGCCUUCGGGUUGUAAAGCCCUUUUGUUGGGAAAGAAAAGCAGCAGGUUAAUACCCCGCUGUUCUGGCGGUACCCAAAGAAUAAGCACCGGCUAACUUCGUG